GGGAUGGGAGUGUUUUAAUGUGUGGUUGGGAGUGUUUUAAUGUGUGGAUGGGAGGAUGGGAGUGUUUUUAUGUGUGGAUGGGAGGAUGGGAGUGUUUUAAUGUGUGGAUGGGAGUGUUUUAAUGUGUGGUUGGGAGUGUUUUAAUGUGUGGAUGGGAGUUUGGCAGUUUGGGAGUGUUUUAAUGUGUGGAUGGCAGGUUGGGAGUGUUUUAAUGUGUGGAUGGGAGGUUGGGAGUGUUUUAAUGUGUGGAUGGGAGGAUGGGAGUGUUUUAAUGUGUGGAUGGGAGUGUUUUAAUGUGUGGUUGGGAGUGUUUUAAUGUGUGGAUGGGAGUGUUUUAAUGUGUGGAUGGGAGUGUUUUAAUGUGUGGAUGGGAGUGUUUUAAUGUGUGGAUGGGGGUGUUUUAAUGUGUGGAUGGGAGUGUUUUAAUGUGUGGAUGGGAGGAUGGGAGUGUUUUAAUGUGUGGAUGGGAGGAUGGGAGUGUUUUAAUGUGUGGAUGGGAGUGUUUUAAUGUGUGGAUGGGAGUGUUUUAAUGUGUGGAUGGGAGUGUUUUAAUGUGUGGAUGGGAGUGUUUUAAUGUGUGGAUGGGAGGAUGGGAGUGUUUUUAUGUGUGGAUGGGAGGAUGGGAGUGUUUUAAUGUGUGGAUGGGAGUGUUUUAAUGUGUGGUUGGGAGUGUUUUAAUGUGUGGAUGGGAGUGUUUUAAUGUGUGGGUGGGAGUGUUUUAAUGUGUGGAUGGGAGGUUGGCAGGUUGAGAGUGUUUUAAUGUGUGGAUCGGAGGUUGGCAGGUUGGGAGUGUUUAAUAACGUGUGGAUGGGAGUUUGGCAGGUUGGAAGUGUUUUAAUGUGUGGAUGGCAGGUUGGGAGUGUUUUAAUGUGUGGAUGGGAGGUUGGGAGUGUUUUAAUGUGUGGAUGGCAGGUUGGGAGUGUUUUAAUGUGUGGAUGGGAGGUUGGCAGGUUGGUAGUGUUUUAAUGUGUGGAUGGGAGGUUGGCAGGUUGGUAGUGUUUUAAUGUGUGGAUGGCAGGUUGGGAGUGUUUUAAUGUGUGGAUUGCAGGUUGGGAGCGUGUUUAUGUGUGUGUAUGUCUGUGUGUGGCUACAGUCCCCUCUCUCUUAGCUUAGUGUUGGUAUGUCCAGUACCUUAGUGCUAUUUCACUCUGUAUUCUACC
ensembl:lncRNA